UUAAGAACACCAAGAACUUUCCGUAUAUCCUCACUCAGGAUUCUCUGCUUAAUGAAACGUAUGCCAAAUACAUGGAGCCUUCCCCUGAUGUCCUGAUGGCAGAAUCCCAUUUUGUUACAGCGUGGGUGGAGAGAGCAGAUGCCCCAGUGCCUCCUUGCAGCUUUGGACACAACGUGCAGAUGGCAUCAUUAUCUCUUUUACAUCUUGGAUGGAUUACUGGGAAGGACAUUCUGUUAAAUAGUUAUUUUAAAAGAUCAUUUGGGAACUUA